AGGAUUGCCAGCAGGGCUUUCGAUCCAACGUCGGCAACAAAGACAUUGGUCUGACUUCAAAGAAAGCAGUUUGUUCUUUUGAAGGCAUGUCUAAUCAAGGUGCACCUCGGUGGGUUGAACCCAAGUGGUUUUCUGAUGGCUCAUCGUUUGACGUGGAGGCCAUCACAACAGUUCGACAGAAAUGGACAACUUACUUUUUAACUUUUAGGAAAAACAAUUGCUAAAUUUGAUUUGUAUUAUGUACAAGUACAUUUUUCCUGUGGUUUCAUCAAAGAAUUAGAACAAUUAUGGCUCGCAACUUUGUAUGUUGGAUACA